rnacentral:rRNA from 1 species
UACGUAGGGUGCAAGCGUUAAUCGGAAUUACUGGGCGUAAAGCGUGCGCAGGCGGUGAUGUACGUCAGAUGUGAAAUCCCCGGGCUCAACCUGGGAACUGCAUCUGUGACUGCAUCGCUGGAGUGCGGCAGAGGGGGAUGGAAUUCCGCGUGUAGCAGUGAAAUGCGUAGAUAUGCGGAGGAACACCGAUGGCGAAGGCAAGCCCCUGGGCCUGCACUGACGCUCAUGCACGAAAGCGUGGGGAGCAAACAGG